rnacentral:rRNA from 1 species
UGCUAGUCGAGCGCUUCAAGCCAAAAAGAGGCGCGGCGUACAGCUCAGUAACACGUGGCUAAUCUGCCCUUGGGAUAGGAAUAACCCCGGGAAACUGGGGCUAAUCCCCAAUAGGCGAAGAACUCUGGAAUGAGUCUUUACCAGAAAAGAUGCUUGCGUUAUGCUCGUAGGCGUCGCCCAAGGAUGAGGCCGCGACCGAUCAGGUUGUUGGUGAGGUAAUGGCUCACCAAGCCUUUUACCGGUGCGGGCCGUGAGAGCGGGAGCCCGGAGAUGGGCACUGAGACAAGGGCCCAGGCCCUACGGGGCGCAGCAGUCGCGAAAACUUUGCAAUAAGCGAAAGCUUGACAGGGCUAUCCCGAGUGCCAUCCGCUGAGGAAGGCUUUUACCCAGUCUAGAACGCUGGGGGAAUAAGGAGAGGGCAAGUCUGGUGUCAGCCGCCGCGGUAAUACCAGCUCUCCGAGUGGUGUGGAUGUUUAUUGGGCCUAAAGCAUCCGUAGCUGGCUAAGUUAGUCCCUUGUUAAAUCCACCGAAUUAAUCGUUGGAUUGCGGGGGAUACUGCUUGGCUAGGGGACGAGAGAGGCAGACGGUAUUUCCGGGGUAGGGGUGAAAUCCUAUAAUCCCGGGAAGACCACCAGUGGCGAAGGCUGUCUGCUAGAACGCGCCCGACGGUGAGGGAUGAAAGCUGGGGGAGCGAACCGGAUUAGAUACCCGGGUAGUCCCAGCUGUAAACGAUGCAGGCUAGGUGUUUGGACGGCCACGUGCCGUUCUAGUGCCGCAGGAAACUGUUAAGCCUGCCGCCUGGGGGGUACGAUCGCAAGAUUGAAACUUAA